GCUGCAGCCCUGCUUCCUCACUGGUGGCUGCUGGCAUGGAACCCUUGAAGCCCAAGAAUCUAGGGUACUGCAUGCAUCCUGUGUGAGGAAGAACAGAAAUCCAAACAGAUCUUGAUGUGCUAUUUUCAAAAAAGCAGCACUUUAGAAGCACCGAUCAUCUCAGUGCUGGCCAGGUCCAACACCUUGGUUUCCAAACUGCUUUCAUCCUGAUGUGGAGAAGGUCAGAACAAAAGAUAAACUGAAGGUUGAGUAUUGGGGGUAAGAAUAUAUUUCCUUUUGGUAUUCUUAAAAGGACACUGAAGAGCCUCCAGAACUUGGGGUCACUUGUGUACUUUCAAUUUUUGGAGCUCCUCAAUUGGAUGUUCUGAAGUGUAGGGGUGACCUGACACUGAAGGAUAAAAUUAAUCAUUGAUCCAAUCUUCAAAGUAGUGUUUCAAUAGCUAAGCAAACACAAAACUCUAACACAAGCUGAAGCUUAGAUACUGCAGGAUCAACACCAGGAACUGGCAGUCCCUGUGGCUAUGCUGUUUGUGAGAACUGUCAAAUGCAGAUUCCUAAGGUCAUUUAACUUUCCUGGGUUUCAAGACUUAUCUUGGUCAUACACCAACUGGGACUCCUUCAGUGGUGCCCAGACAGCAUAUUUACAUCCUGCACAGAUCCAUUCUUAUUGUCUGCUUCCAUAUCACAGCUAAAUUCUUAACCUCUUGAGUUAUGCAGGCAAUUUUCUGGUGCUCUUCCACUUUGCUUUUGGCAAUAUUGUCAUUCUGUUGCUUAUAUGUUUUUCAAUAAAGCACGUUAAGAAUGCUGUGUAUGUCCUCAGGGCAAAACCAGAGUGGUGUAUGUAAGAGUGUUAACAGUCUCUGAAUAAAAAGGAAAGGUAUGAAAGUAGAUUUAUAAAGAAUUAAUGUUUAAGUUACUGAAUAUUAACACAUUAACAUGCUUUAAUAUCUCUCUAUAUAUAUUUUUAAUUAAAUUAAACCCCCAAAUCUAUCACUGCGGCAUUUCUGGACUGCUUUGAAGCCUUUAAAUGCAGGUCCCCAUCAAAGCAAUUACAGUGGAAGGGCUAUGGUUUGGUAGUGGAACACAGGCUAAAGGAGAGCUGCCGAAAAAGGAAAGCACUGUGGGAGGAAGGCAGGAUGCUGCAGUCCUGAGAUGUGGUCAUAUGGUUGAUUUUGAGGUGUCUGAAGGGCAAAAGCAAUGUUCAUGAUACCUGACUCAAGGCAGCUAUGUUCUGUAGCCACCAGAUGACUUCCCAAGCCUGUAGUAUUAACUAAAAUAAAUUCUGAUAUGAAGCACAAACCCAUGAAUGUUUGGACUAAGAAUGGAUAUAGGAAUUGUGUGACUGAGAUGUAGUGAUCAACUAUGACUGGUGAUGAAUGCUGGUGAUGGGCUUAAAACAUGAUACUGUAAAUGUAAUUCUCUAUUAUGUCACCAGAGGGGCUCCUAAUCAAGACAGAACUAUGAACUACAUGGCUCAGCCAUCAGUACUGGCAACAGAUACACAGUCCUGCCAAGAGGAUAAACUACAAAUUGUUGAAUCAACUUUACAAUAUUAUUAAACUCAGCUAAGGAAUAGCUGAAAAGACUGACUGUACAGUAAGUAUACCUAGAGAAGGGGAGGAGCUACUUAUGCUAGAAUAUUGUGGCAUAAAAUGAAUACAAAUCAUAAACUUGUGAUUGAAUUUAGAAUAAUUUAUCACCAGAGAAGUGAAUGGGAAGAUACUUCUGUGAGGAAGGAUUGUACUUGGAAAACAUUUCUUUACUGAGAGGAUACUUAAACACUGGAACAGGUAAAUGCCCCAAGCCUGUCAGUGUUUAAGAGGCAUUUGGACAGUGCUUUAAUUUGGCCAGCCCUGAAGUGAUCAGGCAGCUGGACUAGAUAAUCAUUGUAGAUCCCUUCCAACUAUUAUAUUUUCUAUUCCCCACAUAUCUGGGCUAGUGCUGGACUUAAGUCUGAGCCAAAAGACCUCUUCUCUGCCUUUUGUUCCUACUUCAGCUUUAUACUUCAUAUUGGUCUACAAUUUGGUAGAUUCCUGUGGCAAACCCUUUCAGGUAUGUUUUCCUUACAGAACCUAAGUACCAGUCUUUAUUUAACAUAAUCAAGAUUUUUGAUUAUGAGGCUAAAUCAGUUAAAUUACUGAUACAGUCAACCCCUUUACCUGUGUAAAGCAUAGCUAAAUUCAGGUCCACUGCUUCUUCCAGUGUUGUAGAGUGACAUUAAGGACUGAGGCCUAAACCUAUACUUAAUUGGUGGUAUGAUACAUUGAAAGGCUGUCAUAGAAUCACAGAAUGGUUUUGGUUGGAAGAGACCUUAAACAUCAUCCAGUUCCAACCCUUGUCAUGGACAAGGACACCUUCUAUUAGACCAGGUUGCUCAAAGUCCCAUCCAACCUGGCUUUGAACACUGCCAGGGAUGGGGCAGCCACAACUUCUCUGGGCAACCUGUGCCAGUGCCUCACCACCCUAACAGGAAAGAGCUUCCUAGUAUCUAAUCUGAAUCUACCCUCUUUCAGAUUAAAUCCAUCCUUCCUUUUCAUUCUAUGCCCCUGAUUUCUUGUAGUUCCCUUUUAGGUUCUGCAAGCUGCUCUAAGGUCUCCAUGAGCCUUCUCUUCUCUGGGCUGAACAAUCCCCAGCCUUCUCAGCCUCUUCAUAGCAGAGCAUAGCUUAUCUUCCAGCUUUUGGAGCAUCUUUGUGGCCUCCUCUUGACUUGCUCCAGCAGCUCUACAUCCUUCUUGUGUUGCUGGCCAUACAGCUGAACACAGUAUUGCAGGUGGGGUUUUUGUCCUGUUCCUCCCACUUUACACCUGUGUAACAAACCUGGGUUUUCACUUACUAUUGGGAAGCAAAUCUCACCUUUAAUUUUACAUUUAUCAGUUGCACCUCACUUUUACUUUGUCUAGUACCCAAACACCUGAAGGAGGCCAGGUUCUACCUUUGCACUGACAUAUCUGUAGUCUUAAGCACAUAAUUUUGCUUUACUAUAGCAACACGAUUGCAAAAUACAUUACAAAUGAGUGAGAUGGGCAAAAAUGCCCUUGAGCUGCUAUUCUAAGAUUUUAAAGUCAUAUGCAAGUGAGUACUUCUUAAUCAGUAGUUAUGACUGGAAAAGGUUGAGGGAAUUAUGACACCAUCCACUAAAAUAAAAAUCCAACUAAACUUGAUAUAGUAACUCCAAAGAUUAAAUUUUAUUUACUCAUCUGUACAAUAGAGGUAAUCCCAGUAACUGAGUUGCACUUAAUUUUCUUAAUUUUUAUAAAGGAUCUACAGUUCUAGUGAAGAAUUGUUUACAAACUCUUCAAGUCAAACCCAGGUUUUCCACUAAACAAUGCAAUUAGAAGAAAUCAUAAAAAGUUACUUCAAAUUACUCUUCGCCCUGGAUCUUGACCUCAGUAAAAACCAAACCAGACCUGCUAUGCCCACAUCAGGUGCCUAGCUGGUGCUAUUAAGGCUACUCAUUAGCCAUGGUUUGCUGGAGUCAACUGUGCCUUGGACUCAACAGUUUUACUACUUGGAAAAAUACAGCCACUUUAACAUUGCAUCUCAGAAUAAAGUAUUGCUCAACAAAAAAGUUAACCUGUGUCAGAGCUGUAGUCUUAUGUUCCCUGAUGAGUUGUAUCCCAUUUCCCUGACAGGGGUACACGCAGUUCCUGUUGUGACCUUCCUCAGCUGUGCCUACCUCCCCACUGGGCCAUGCAUGAUGGAUAGUGCCAGCAGUAACCAGGAUGGUCAAGUCCCACAC